AAGGAAAAGGAAAAAUCAAUUCUAAAAGUCCAGUUUCAAUUCCUUUUAUUGCAUAAAUGAUAUUUUUUUCCAUCCGUGAAGGUCACACACACUUAACAGCACGAAGCAGCAAACAGGUCCAGCGCGGACACUGUUUCCUUUGUGUGUAGAGAAACACUGGUUUAAUGAAGCCUUGGAUGACGGACAAUUAAUGUUCUCGUUCAAAAUUAAGUGUUAGAAGAAAAGGGAAAUUCACAGCAAAAGAACACUAAGUAAUUUGAGUAAAAGAGGGUAAACUUUAAUUUUCUGCCCUUUCCCAGUGUCUAAUGUAGUUAUACACGAUUUUUCUUAAUGCACGGUCUAAUUUGAAACCUGACCUCCGUGUAUAAGGAGGGAUUACUGUACUGUACAAAACAUCAUGCUCAAUAGUACAAGAAACUGACCAACACAUUAUACUGAACUUGAGGUUACAGGAAAUAAAAAACAACAACAAUACAUUAAGAAAACAACCACAAUCUCCUCUAUAAUGUUGUGGUGGUGGUGGUGGUGGUGGUGCAGGCCAGUACCCUCAACACCACACAGUCCACCACAAUCUCCUCUAUAAUGUUGUGGUGGUGGUGGUGGUGGUGGUGCAGGCCAGUACCCUCAACACCACAAAGUCCACCACAAUCUCCUCUAUAAUGUUGUGGUGGUGGUGGUGGCCAGUACCCUCAACACCACACAGUCCACCACAAUCUCCUCUAUAAUGUUGUGGUGGUGGUGGUGGUGGUGGUGCAGGCCAGUACCCUCAACACCACACAGUCCACCACAAUCUCCUCUAUAAUGUUGUGGUGGUGGUGGUGGUGGUGGUGCAGGCCAGUACCCUCAACACCACACACAGUCCACCACAAUUUCCUCUAUAAUGUUGUGGUGGUGGUGGUGGUGGUGCAGGCCAGUACCCUCAACACCACACAGUCCACCACAAUUUCCUCUAUAAUGUUGUGGUGGUGGUGCAGGCCAGUACCCUCAACACCACACAGUCCACCACAAUUUCCUCUAUAAUGUUGUGGUGGUGGUGGUGGUGGUGGUGCAGGCCAGUACCCUCAACACCACACAGUCCACCACAAUCUCCUCUAUAAUGUUGUGGUGGUGGUGGUGGCCAGUACCCUCAACACCACACAGUCCACCACAAUCUCCUCUAUAAUGUUGUGGUGGUGGUGGUGGUGGUGGUGCAGGCCAGUACCCUCAACACCACACAGUCCACCACAAUCUCCUCUA